UCAGAUCUCGUCCGCGCUUCCCAGCAUGCCACGUCCAUGAACCAGCUCCCCCGAGUUCCCAGCAACCGUGAUCCCAGCUCCAAACCUCCUUCCGAUCCCGAGCAUCUCCAUUCCAGCGUCACAGCAAGAUCACACGCUCCCGGAUCUUUCUCCCCACCAGCGCAUCAUCCGAGUCUACGAUUCCAGCGGGGAAGAGAUCGCGAUCCAUCCACGAUCGGAUCCUCCAGGCCACUGCAGCCUCCCGGAUUCGCAAUCAUCCGAGUUCCAGCCACAUCAGCUCCCAGCGUCCGCGUGUGAUCCAGCCUCUCCCAGUCAUUCCGUGUCCGGGAUCUUGCGGCUGGCUAAGGAUGCUCUUCCCGUUCGUUUCCGCAUCCGAUUCUCCCGCAUCCACAGCCUCAUCCAGCCGACGUGUCUCCACCGCGUGCGAAUCUCUCGCGUCCCCUUCCAAAUCCCAGCCGUCCGCGCCUAUUCCCGUGCAAG
rnacentral:lncRNA from 1 species